GAUGAACGCUGGCGGCGUGCCUAAUACAUGCAAGUCGAGCGAAUGGAUUAAGAGCUUGCUCUUAUGAAGUUAGCGGCGGACGGGUGAGUAACACGUGGGUAACCUGCCCAUAAGACUGGGAUAACUCCGGGAAACCGGGGCUAAUACCGGAUAACAUUUUGAACCGCAUGGUUCGAAAUUGAAAGGCGGCUUCGGCUGUCACUUAUGGAUGGACCCGCGUCGCAUUAGCUAGUUGGUGAGGUAACGGCUCACCAGGGCAACGAUGCGUAGCCGACCUGAGAGGGUGAUCGGCCACACUGGGACUGAGACACGGCCCAGACUCCUACGGGAGGCAGCAGUAGGGAAUCUUCCGCAAUGGACGAAAGUCUGACGGAGCAACGCCGCGUGAGUGAUGAAGGCUUUCGGGUCGUAAAACUCUGUUGUUAGGGAAGAACAAGUGCUAGUUGAAUAAGCUGGCACCUUGACGGUACCUAACCAGAAAGCCACGGCCAACUACGUGCCAGCAGCCGCGGUAA
rnacentral:rRNA from 1 species